UAUAAAAUUACCUAUCCGCGCGUGCGUCUACUGGUUUUUGUAUCAGAAACUUCGGGAUUACUAUUUUACAGCAUGCCUAUUGCAUAUUUACCUCGAAAUGUGUGUCCCACGAGAAAACAACGUUCCGCUUGGAAUAUAAAACACAUAUAAUGUUGAUGAUUUCAAUUUUAUUAGGGAAAAAAAAAAGCCCAACCUACAAAAUAAGUGGAUGUAAUACGUUAAAAGAACCAUCGCCGUAUAUGCGCACGACAACGCGUAUA